AGAUUUUUGAAUUGUUCUUGGUGAGACUAAAGAAAGUUGUGAAGAAUGAGAAUAAUGUUAGCACAAUUGGCCGGAAAUUUCUGACAAGAAUCAUUUGGAUAUAUUAACGCACGAAACAACCGAGUAAGUCGAAACUAACCUUUUAGAGUUCUUCUCUUCGAAACCGAAAUAGGAUUUCACUAAUGGGAUUAAAAAGCUUACGACUAGAUGGAAAGGCGUCAUAGAUAAUCAUGGAGACUAUACUGAUGAUUAAAGUUCAUUAAAAUAUCGCCAAGAAGUGGUGAAGAAAACUGAGGCUCUAUCAAAAGAAAGGGAAAAGAUCCAACAGGCAUAUUUGCAUAACCAGUUCUAAUAGAUCCCAUCUCGAAGAGUGGAAUUAGUCGAUGAAGUGUUAAUCGGAAUAUAAGGAAAUUAAUUUUCAUAACAGUACAGACACUGAGGAUGUUCCUCUAUAUGAAAAAAAAAUGAUUGAAUGAAUGAUAUUAAACUUAUUUUCGUGUUUCCAAGUU